UACGCGUGGUUGCAUAGUAGCACACGGUAUUGAUUAUUGAUGCUUACGUGAGAAGUCACUCAGUUUUGUUCAAUUAUUGCUACAGUAAUUGUUGCAUAGUAUCUCACGUUAUUUGAUUCAAUUAUUGUCGAUAUUUUAUACAUUAUUAAAUCAAUAAUUGAGAUGACAGAGUUAUUAAUAUUAUUAUUUGCAAUAUUAACGAUGUCUAGAAGUUCUGCCAAGGAGAG
rnacentral:lncRNA from 1 species